rnacentral:rRNA from 1 species
CUAUUCAUUCAAAGAGUGCGUAACAGCUCACUAGUCGAGCGGCAAAGCGUGGAUAAUAAACGGGCAUCAAGUAUACCACCGAAGUUCUGGGCACGAAAGUGCGGUAGGGGAGCAUUCCAUUCCGCGUUGAAGCCGAACCGUGAGGUUUGGUGGAGUGUAUGGAAAAGCAAAUGUAGGCAUGAGUAACGAUAAUGCGGGAGAGUAACCCGCACACCGCAAGACCAAGGUUUCCUGAUCAACGCUAAUCGGAUCAGGGUUAGUCGGGUCCUAAGGGUAAGCCGAACGGUGAUCUCGAUGGAUAAUCGGUUAAUAUUCCGAUACUGACAUAUACCUCGAUGGAGAGACGAAGGAACGUAAGUGCCGCCACCUGACGGAAUAGGUGGUUAAAGGGCUUAGGUAUAGGGACAGAUUAAGAGUUAGUCCUUGCUGAAACCUGACAGUACAGAGAGCCUACGGGCAAUUUGAUAGUGCACCCAAGUCGACUUCCGAGAAAAUCUUCUAAGUUAUAGUAUAUGUCACCCGUACCGUAAACCGACACAGGUGGUCGAGGAGAGUAUCCUAAGGUGCUCGAGUGAAUCACGGUUAAGGAACUAGGCAAAUUAACCCCGUAACUUCGGGAAAAGGGGUCCCAUCGCGAGGUGGGCGCAGCGAAGAGGUCCAGGCGACUGUUUAUCAAAAACACAGGGCUCUGCAAAUUCGAAAGAAGACGUAUAGGGCCUGACACCUGCCCGGUGCUGGAAGGUUAAGAGGGGAUGUCAUCGCAAGAGAAGCAUUGAAUCGAAGCCCCAGUAAACGGCGGCCGUAACUAUAACGGUCCUAAGGUAGCGAAAUUCCUUGUCGGGUAAGUUCCGACCUGCACGAAUGGUGUAACGAUCUGGACACUGUCUCAACCGUGAGCUCGGUGAAAUUGUAGUCCCGGUGAUGAUGCCGGGUACCCGCAACGGGACGAAAAGACCCCGUGAACCUUUACUAUAGCUUAACGCUGAAUUUGGGUACACAAUGUGUAGGAUAGGCAGGAGACUACGAAGCGGGCACGCCAGUGUUCGUGGAGUCGACGUUGAAAUACUGCCCUUUGUGUACUUGAGUUCUAACCCUCGAGAGGGGACACCGUUUGGUGGGUAGUUUGACUGGGGUGGUCGC